rnacentral:rRNA from 1 species
CCUACGGGCGGCAGCAGUAGGGAAUCUUCCACAAUGGGCGAAAGCCUGAUGGAGCAACGCCGCGUGGGUGAAGAAGGUCUUCGGAUCGUAAAACUCUGUUGUUAGAGAAGAAAGUGCGUGAGAGUAACUGUUCACGUUUCGACGGUAUCUAACCAGAAAGCCACGGCUAACUACGUGCCAGCAGCCGCGGUAAUACGUAGGGGGCAAGCGUUAUCCGGAUUUAUUGGGCGUAAAGGGAACGCAGGCGGUCUUUUAAGUCUGAUGUGAAAGCCUUCGGCUUAACCGGAGUAGUGCAUUGGAAACUGGGAGACUUGAGUGCAGAAGAGGAGAGUGGAACUCCAUGUGUAGCGGUGAAAUGCGUAGAUAUAUGGAAGAACACCAGUGGCGAAAGCGGCUCUCUGGUCUGUAACUGACGCUGAGGUUCGAAAGCGUGGGUAGCAAACAGGAUUAGAUACCCGUGUAGUC